UACGGGGGGGGCAAGCGUUGUUCGGAAUUACUGGGCGUAAAGGGCUCGUAGGCGGCCACCUAAGUCAGACGUGAAAUCCCUCGGCUUAACCGGGGAACUGCGUCUGAUACUGGAUGGCUUGAGUUCGGGAGAGGGAUGCGGAAUUCCAGGUGUAGCGGUGAAAUGCGUAGAUAUCUGGAGGAACACCGGUGGCGAAGGCGGCAUUCUGGACCGACAUUGACGCUGAGGAGCGAAAGCCAGGGGAGCAAACGGG
rnacentral:rRNA from 1 species